UACGAAGGGUGCAAGCGUUACUCGGAAUUACUGGGCGUAAAGCGUGCGUAGGUGGUUCGUUAAGUCUGAUGUGAAAGCCCUGGGCUCAACCUGGGAAUGGCAUUGGAUACUGGCGACCUAGAGUGCGGUAGAGGGUGGCGGAAUUCCCGGUGUAGCAGUGAAAUGCGUAGAUAUCGGGAGGAACAUCCGUGGCGAAGGCGGCCACCUGGACCAGCACUGACGCUCAUGCACGAAAGCGUGGGGAGCAAACAGG
rnacentral:rRNA from 1 species